UUAGGAAGCUAUUGUUUAUUCUGUAUGUUUGUACUCACUAGAGUAAAAAAAUAUUUUGUAAACCAUCAACCAACUAGUAUUAUAUCUUCUAAUUUCUGGCCUCAACUGGGAAAACAGUCAGUAGGAUCAGUUCUAAGAAAGACUGUGUCAACUGUGACAGAAAAAUAUUAUUGAAACUUGCUAUUUGAUAGCUGAAACAUGUGGGCACUGAAGUCUAUUAAGAAAUGCCUCUUCUUGAACACAUCAGUCCUGAACUCAGCUCUGGGGUUUUUGCAUGGUAAAGUGGUGCAGAGAAUUUGCAGGGAAGCUUAGGACAUCUUUCAGAUGAUGGGAUCCAUACAUGAAAUAUAGUCCAGAAAUGGCUCCAAAGAAUUUUCAGCAUCAAUCAGCAAGAUAGAUGAAGAGGAAGAGAGAAGCAGCACUACUUGCCCGCAUAUGAAGUCAGAGAUGGAGGAGUUGGUGGUUACAUGCUGCACUGCUUGGUGGAUACGUGCCUGGCUAUAGUAGGUUAAAAGGAAAUCAAGGGUGGUGCUGCUAACAUUCAACCCUCAGCUCCCUAUUCACCUCUCAUCAUCCACCCUUGCAUUUGAACUCAAUCGCUUUACCCACCCACCUAGUUUCCAUGUGAAAUUGUGCUAAUGGAUGUCUGUCCCACAAUAUGCCAGAAGACUUGAGCUGUUUUUGUAAUUUGCAAUUUUCUUUUGAAUUUCAAGUGUUUCCAACUUGCGAAAUCUUGAUUUGGGUCAACUGUCUGAACUCUGUCCACGUGCGUGUAAUUCAAGGAUCACAGCACAUAGAAGUAAGAGGUUGAUCAUCAAAACUUUUCUGUGCUUCAGGGACAUUACGUACUGGGAUUUUGGUAUAAUUCUGUGUCUAGCAGGAAGGAAAGGGCCAGAAAGAGAACUGAUAAUGAUUUGAAUGGAGUAGGACCUUGGGCAACUGUGUUUUGCAUGCCCUGCAAGCUCUGCACAGUCAUUAACACUGAUGAAGCAUUAGAGACUUGUGGUGCCAGAUAGAAGUCAGUCCUUCCAGGAACACUUGCCAUAUUUUUAUGUCUUCUCAUCUUCUACCUGUGUCUUGGCAGAACUAGAGCAACACAGUGGAACACCAGACUUUACACACCUUAUCUACAUUACCCUCUUCCAAAGGCCUUUCUCUUUCCCCUCUCAAUCCAGGUUUCCCUUUUUCUUUGUUUUGCCUUCUUCUUUUAGUUUCCCUCCUUUUCCUUCACUCCUUUACUCCACUGAAAAUCUCCCUUAUGCCAGGAAAGACCAAAACUGAGCUAGUAUCAACAGGGCAUCUUGCAGGAAAUAAACACCAGCCUACAUUGUGAAAUGUUAUGGUGCUUGUAGCAUGGCCUGUUUUUACAAUCAGCUGCCGAGAGAAGAUGUUCAAAAGGAUGUUUUCAGCACCAGAUCAGGGCAUCUCAGGUGAGAUUCCAGGUGCCAAGCUGGCCAAGGCUCCCUGCUUAGGGAAAGAGAAACAAGUUUUAUUCUGGGCCACAGAGGAGUCUUCAAUUCUGACUGGAGGUUUUCUGGUGUCAGGGCCUCAUUUAAAUGUGUAGGAGAGGAGCUAGGCAGAGGUGGCAGCAUUGGUACAUUUGUAUCAGUGGUCAGAGCCUGGUGCAUAUCUGUUAAUGCAGAUAUGUUAAUGCCAGUAGGGACUGGCCUCUCUUUCUUUCCUCUGUCUACUGUGAACUCACAUUUUACCUUGUAUUCACUGCCAGAGGCUGUCCCAGCUCCUAAGUUUGUUUUCUCUCUCUUUAUGGUCUAACAACUAUUCAACUGGUCUAUGCAAAAUGGAAUUUCUUCAGGCAGAGCUGCCCUUCUGUGUCUGUUUAGAGAGUUCACUGAACAUAUGCUGUCUUGGGUAUAUCGAGGCUGAACAAACCCCCUAAAUUUAUGUGCUGUUCAGAUGGAUCAGCGAUCUCAGCUACUGGCAGGGAGUUUAGGACAAGGACAAGAUCCUUGUGCUUUAAAAAGUCUUGUCUGUUCAGUUUUUGCCCUAUUACUACAAUUCAGGGAGCCAGAGGACUGUUUAGACACAGGUAGUCUUGGUCUUGCUUUGAUUUAUAUAUAUUUGGAGAAUUUAACUUCUAGACAUGUAGCAAGUAGCUGGAAGGAACACUGAGAACUUAAAUGUCUCCAAGCCCAGGGAUGGGGUCUUGAGGAGACAAGACAACAGACAGACUCUUUUGUUCUUUCAGUGCAGGGUGAAAGAAAAGUCACAUGCUUCAUCCCUUCAAAUUAACACAGGAAAACCAUCUCACUAAACUGCACGUCUUCCUAUUUCUGAGGCAAAGCAGAAGAAUAUGAGAGAACAGAAACAAUGGAAAUGGCAACAAAUGAAUAAAUUUUAUCCUGACAUAAGGCCUAGACUUCAGAAGUGUUUACUCCAUCCUUAAAUCCUUCAGCUUUCAUCCUGAUCCUCUCCCAUAUUUUACCUAGUGGAGCCCAGCUGUAUGGAGUGAAAUAGAGCAGCAACCUGCACACAGAAAUUCAUCAAGUCCUGUCACACAUCAGCUCUUUCUGCAGAAUUGUCUGGUAAUGUUUAAUUGUCAAAAAACUCUUAACUGCAAAAACAUUAACUUAAGUGCAGUUUCUUAUUCUGACACUGAACCUUGGCCAAGUGAUUAAUGCUCAUAGCCAUAGGAGGUUGUUUAUGUCACAGGAAGCUUUUAAAAACAUGACAAAUAAUAAACCAAAGAAUAUGACAGAAAAGAACCAAGAAAACAAAAUGAAAGAAGCAAACACAUAAUUUAGAAACUGUAACACUGUUCUUUAAGUUUUGGUUAAAACUUUAUUCUCUGAAUUAAAAAAUUAUAGUUCAAAAUUUGCUUGACCUUUUUUGUAGCAAAGUGUGAAGUGUUCAUGAUCCUCCUGGCUCAUGUAUAUUAUAAACUUGGCACGUGUCCUUUUGAAAGAGCGAGCUUUUCUCCAGAAAAUAUUUUCCAUUGGUUGCUGUAAAUAUAAUGUUGUUAGCCAGUCUCCUCAGACAUAAAAACCUGGUCUUAUGAUGUAUGUUGAAACUAUUAGGAUAGAAUAGAAAACCAGAUGGAUUUUUUCCUCAGAAAAGUUGAAGCUGAACUGAGGUGAUUAUUAUUGCUGUUAGUCUCUUCACAACUUGCCAGUCUCCUGAAGUGGGAGAUUUUCUGUAGUGACCACAGCAGUAGAUGGACAUCACUGACUGCAGCAAAUCUAACCGACAUCAGUCACUUUAUGCAAACUCAGUUACUUUACAUAACUGUGCUAAAAAAAUUCACAACUAAUUGGCUGCAACAUUCUCUCUCCUUUGGCCACAAUGACAUGAUUUCUUUUUAAAUCUGGCACGCACGUGUCACUAUGAGACAGCAGAAAAGUGAACUCUGUCAUUGUGAUUAUCUGUUGUCUGGCUUCUUUCAUGUGCAGAAGUUUUUAUCCACAGUCUCUUGUCUGUUUUCAAAAGCCAAAGACAAAACCACAAGGAUUGUGUUAGACAUGUCUUGCUGCAAAGAAAGCCAGUGGUAUCCUGAGCUGCAUUAGGAGGAGUGUUGCCAGCUUGGUGAGGGAGAUGAUCACCACUGGUGGAUCCCUACUUGGACUGCUGGAUCCAGUUCUGGGGUGCCCAGUACAGAAAAGACAUUGACGCACCUGAGAGAGUCCAGUGAAGGGCUACAAAGAUAACUGAGGAAUGAGAGCAUCUCUCCUGUGAGGAAAGUCUAGGAGAUUUGGAACUGUUCAACCUAGAGAAGAGCAAGUUCAAUGGGUCCCUAGUAUAAUAUAGCUCAAUAUAUAUUAAUAUCUGAAGGAGGAUAUAAAGAGGAUGGAGCCAGGCUUUUUUCAGUGGUGACCAAUGACAGAACAAGAAGAAAUGGGCAGAAACUCAAAUAAUGGAGAUGCCAUCUGAACAUCAGAAAACAUUUUUCUAUUCUGAAGAUGACUGAGCACUGGCACGUAUUGGCCAGAGAGAUUGUAAAGGCUCCAUCCUUGAAGACAUUAAAAAGCCAUUUGGACAUGAUGUAACUGACUCUAGAAGACUGCUUGAGCAGCGGGUUUGGACCAGAUGACAUCCAGAGGUCCUUUCCAACCUCAGCCAUUCUGUGUUAAGGAAACGAUGAAGAAACAGAAACUGCAUUUCGCGUCUUCAGUGAGAUGUGAAAGCAUAUAUUAGGAGAUAUGUUGUGCACAGCUGUGGUUGGUGAAGAACUUGUACACAUGCUGGUGUUUUGCAGUAGCAAACAGGCAAAGGAAUUGCAGCUGUUGCUUUGAUUGACAUGGCUAAACAGUGCUGAGAAGAGUCUGAGAAGAGGUGUGAUCGUCUGUGAAAUGCUACAAAGAUAAAAGAACAUGUCUCUAUUUCUAUGUUAGAGGAAAAGGAUGGUGAAAUGUAUUUCAGAUGAACACAGGCUGUAGAACAGCAAGCUGUAUGAAUAGAAAUGAGUGGAACAAGAAAUACCUGUCCAUGGCAGGAUUCUAAUGUGGGAUGUGAAAACUACUGAGAUGUGAGAACUCAGAAACUAAGAGGUUGGCUAUGUGAAUAGACUGAAAGACUAUCCCUUAGGAAGCAGUCUGGAACACAUGGCAGAAAUGCAUGUUAGCUUUUGAUCAAUCUGAUAUAAAUCAAGUUGUGAAUGAACUUGCAUAUUCUUCUGCUAUGAAAAAAAUCCACUAUAUAAACUGAAGAUGGAUGUUUGGAUCCAGCUCCAUGAUCUGACAUGGCAGAGCUGCAGGAUCUCUGACAUGCAGCAUUGUCUUCAGUUCACUGACUGCUCACAGACCAAGUCACUUUGGCUUGCUGUUUCUAGCUUGCCAAUGAAUUGUUGCACUGCCUCUUGCAUCAAAAACAGCCUGUGAGCAUACUCUAGGAAACCAGAUGCCUUCAGGUUACUUCCUUCCUAUCCUGGGAUGUGUGUCAGCUUCACGUGGUAUACUUUAACAUCUUGAACAACUGGGUGUAUUAAAAUCUGAGAUAAAUUUAAGAUUAAACUAGCAUCAACACUAUUCAUAUAUAUGUAUAUGUAUGUGUAUGUCUGAGUAUUUGUAAAUAUAUACAUACAUGUUGAUGAG